rnacentral:tRNA from 1 species
GGGCGCGUAGCUCAGUUGGUUAGAGCACACGCUUGAUAAGCGUGGGGUCGGUGGUUCGAGUCCACUCGCGCCCA